CGGGUGAGUAACGCGUGGGUAACCUGCCUCAUACAGGGGGAUAACAGUUAGAAAUGACUGCUAAUACCGCAUAAGCGCACGGUCUCGCAUGGGACAGUGUGAAAAACUCCGGUGGUAUGAGAUGGACCCGCGUCUGAUUAGCUGGUUGGUGAGGUAAGGGCUCACCAAGGCGACGAUCAGUAGCCGGCCCGAGAGGGUGAACGGCCACAUUGGGACUGAGACACGGCCCAAACUCCUACGGGAGGCAGCAG
rnacentral:rRNA from 1 species